rnacentral:rRNA from 1 species
GCAUCCAACGCGUUGGGAGCUCUCCCAUAUGGUCGACCUGCAGGCGGCCGCGAAUUCACUAGUGAUUAGAGUUUGAUCAUGGCUCAGAUUGAACGCUGGCGGCAGGCCUAACACAUGCAAGUCGAGCGGCAGCGGGGGGAAGCUUGCUUCCCUGCCGGCGAGCGGCGGACGGGUGAGUAAUGUCUGGGGAUCUGCCCGAUGGAGGGGGAUAACCACUGGAAACGGUGGCUAAUACCGCAUAACCUCUUUGGAGUAAAGUGGGGGACCUUCGGGCCUCACGCCAUCGGAUGAACCCAGAUGGGAUUAGCUAGUAGGUGGGGUAAUGGCUCACCUAGGCGACGAUCCCUAGCUGGUCUGAGAGGAUGACCAGCCACACUGGGACUGAGACACGGCCCAGACUCCUACGGGAGGCAGCAGUGGGGAAUAUUGCACAAUGGGCGCAAGCCUGAUGCAGCCAUGCCGCGUGUAUGAAGAAGGCCUUCGGGUUGUAAAGUACUUUCAGCGGGGAGGAAGGCAACAGCGUGAAUAGCGUUGUUGAUUGACGUUACCCGCAGAAGAAGCACCGGCUAACUCCGUGCCAGCAGCCGCGGUAAUACGAAUCGAAUUCCCGCGGCCGCCAUGGCGGCCGGGAGCAUGCGAC